AAAAAGUUAGUUAAAUAAUAACAUUAACAUGUCAUGUUAAAAUUAUUAAUACAUUAAUACUUUUUU
rnacentral:tRNA from 1 species